rnacentral:rRNA from 1 species
GACGAAGGUGGCGAGCGUUGUUCGGAAUCACUGGGCAUAAAGCGCACGUAGGCGGCGACGUAAGUUGGGUGUGAAAUCCCUCGGCCCAACCGAGGAACUGCGCCCAGUACUGCGUUGCUUGAGGAUCCAAGGGGUGCAUGGAAUUCCCGGUGGAGCGGUGAAAUGCGUAGAGAUCGGGCGGAACACCAGCGGCGAAGGCGGCAUCCUGGCCCUUACCUGACGCUGAGGCGCGAGAGCGUGGGGAGCAAACCGG